rnacentral:rRNA from 1 species
UUUCGCAAUGCCCGAAAGGGUGACGAAGCGACGCCGCGUGGGUGAGGAAGGCCUUCGGGUUGUAAAGCCCUGUCAGGAGUUAAGAAAUGUAAGUGCGCUAAUAUCGCAUUUAUUUGACGAAGGCUCCAAAGGAAGUCACGGCUAACUCUGUGCCAGCAGCCGCGGUAAUACAGAGGUGGCAAGCGUUGUUCGGAAUUAUUGGGCGUAAAGAGCACGUAGGUGGGUUUGCAAGUCAGAUGUGAAAGCCUUCUGUUCAACGGAAGAAUUGCAUCUGAAACUGCAAGUCUUGAGUGUAGGAGGGGAGAAUGGAACUUCUGGUGGAGCGGUGAAAUGCGUAGAUAUCAGAAGGAACGCCGGCGGCGAAAGCGAUUCUCUGGCCUAUUACUGACACUCAGUGUGCGAAAGCUAGGGGAGCAAACGGGAUUAGAUGCCCCGGUAGUCCUAGCCGUAAACGAUGGGCACUAAGUAGAGGGGUUUU